UAUAACGUAUCUAAUUUGCAUUAAAACUUACUUUAAUCCGAGUUUUAACGUGAUUACCCCCACCUCCUACUCUCAAAACAUUCAAUUGGACUCAUCGUCUCCCAAUUAAACCGACGGGGGCUCCGACUAUAAAUCUCCUAGCGAUGACAGCACAACUUCACCAAAUCGAGAAGAACGAGGACCAGUCUCCAAGGAAGAUGACAGGCUUAAGAGUAUGUGAUCAGUGAUGCUACUGCGAUUGUCCAGACAAGUUUAUAGCAUCGUAUAAUAUCGUGGACGGUACUGUAUACCAGGCUCCACAGCGUUGUAGUGUCUUUGCAGCUCGAGUUGUUGGCUGUUUAUAAUAUUUAGAAGGCUUUCUCUGCAGGUGCAUUAAAGUAGGAGACCAUUAGGCAGGUUGAUGCCAAAAACCAGAAUGAGCCUUCUGAGACAAAGCCCCCAAUAAUACACAAUCUUUCACACCACUUCUCUUUCGAUUCAUCAAAAGAUGUCUUCAUAGAAAACAUGAAGCAACACACCUUAUAUAAGAAAAAAACGGAAUUGAACAGUAUAUAUGUCGAAGAAGUCAAGACUUCUUUGAGCAACGCGUUUCUUCAGGCCGAUCUUGCUUUAGCAAAGGACUGCAACAAAGGCUCUUUUCUCAGGUUUUUCUUCUGGUACCUGGUACCUCGGCUCUUGCUGCCCUUAUUUUUGGAAGACACUUAAUGGUUGCAAAUGCAGGAGAUGGCAGAGCUGUUCUCCGUAGGAAUGGUGAAGCCAUAGACAUGUCUCAAGACCACAAACCAAUCUACUUACCGUAAGGAAGAAAGUCGAAGGAAGUGGCGGCUUUGACGACGCCAAUUACUUAAAUGGCAUAGCGAUUAGGACAUGAAAUUACCACGAGGGUCACGAUCUCCACUCAUAGCAGAGUCAGGAGAUCAAAAGGAUACAUUUAACAGAGGAAGACAAGUUUCUGAUAA